UGAGGAAUAUUGGUCAAUGGGCGCAAGCCUGAACCAGCCAUCCCGCGUGCAGGAAGACGGCCCUAUGGGUUGUAAACUGCUUUUCCAGGGGGAGAAUUUUUCUGUCGUGACAGGAAUUGACGGUACCCUGGGAGUAAGGAUCGGCUAACUCCGUGCCAGCAGCCGCGGUAAUCCGGAGGAUGCGGGCGUUAACCGGAUUUAUGGGGUUUAAAGGGUGCGUAGGCGGAUAGAUAAGUCAGUGGUGAAAACCUGCAGCUUAACUGUAGACUUGCCGUUGAUACUGUCAGUCUUGAGUACGGUCAAGGUAGGCGGAAUGUGUAAUGUAGCGGUGAAAUGCUUAGAUAUUACACAGAACACCGAUUGCGAAGGCAGCUUGCUGGGCCAUUACUGACGCUGAUGCACGAAAGCGUGGGGAUCGAACA
rnacentral:rRNA from 1 species